AUUUAAUUAGGAGGCCAUUUGCUCCAUGUUCCGGUAGAGGAUAACUGUGCUGCAGGAGGGUGUUUGAUAUCUGCAUCAGUCAAUACCUUCAGCUGCCCUAAACUGUACACCAAGGGAGACCUGCUGAGAGAUAUUUUUGGGAAACUCUUGUCGAGUCGAUGUUAAUUUUCCUUCCUGUUGAUGAGCUGGAAACCUUGGAAGCUACUUUGGUUAGAUUUUACACACACACACAAAAAAAAAAAAAAAAAUCUUACACUUCUCUUUGUUUGAGGAGCAGGUGCAUGGAAGACGUAAACUAGCUCUAUAUCAACCCUGGGAGAUUUAGAUGCUUGUGAUCAGUUUCUGAUUUUAGCUCCUCCUCUACUAGAAGGGCUCAAGACGCACAACAUUGCACACACCUACUUUGAACUUCAGAAGAGACUCAGGAGCAUCUGAUCAGCUUUUUGUCCUGUUGCAGCAACACCAAGAUCAAAUUUGUGUUGCAGGAUGGAUCAAGAUGAGAAGAUGAAGCGCCUGGACGUGGAGCCCCUGUUUGUGCGCUUCCUCAGGACACUCAAGGAACUCCUGAAGUUCGUUCUCCUCAGCUACACUGUGAUCUUCGGCGCUUUGCUGCUGGCCAGGUGGACCACUUACUUUAUCGUGGGAAAGUGAAAGAAGUGGAAGAAUGAGCUUCUUCUCGGGUUUAGAGCUGAGACUCUUUGAACCAACUUGCCUAAUGCAGUCGCUGUAGCAAGAAGAAAAGAUUUGUCUCAUCUCCUUUCGCUCUCUGUUUUUUUCUGCCUUUUCGAACAGAAUCAAAACGAUGCACUUAGAGGUUCAAUAAAAUGUGUGAUUGUUGAUGCUGAGACUGACUGCGCAGUUCAUAUUAUGUAACACAGCCACAAAUGAUGGCAACUAGCUCAUUUCUAUAGCUGUGAACAGAAAAUAAUGUAUACUUUAAAUAAAUAAAAGUUUGCUAUAACAGGACACUUUGACCAUUUCUUCUAGCCACUGUCUGCAUGGCUGGAGGAAGAACCAUACUUAUCUUGCCACCACGUACCAUGAUGAGGAUGAAGAAAGGAUAAAAUAAAUCUGGUGUCUUUCAGUUCCCAAGUCUCUACAAUAAAGUUACACACUAUGUUCAUGCCAUUUUGAUUUAGGAGGUAUGAAAAGUUGAAUGUUUUCCUUCUUAACUUCACAAAUGUAAAAAUGUGAAGAUUUGUAAAUUUGCAAAUAACGGUAUGUUUGAUCAUGUGAGAGUGAGAUUGAAAUGAGUGAAAACAUCCCUCUGCUUACUGUUAAGUGCGGAGGGUUUUU